GCUGUGGUGUAGAGUGCAGUGUAACGUGGGUUUUCCGAGAAAUCUGACAUUUUACAUUAACAUCUUAAUAGUUAUCAUUAUUUAGCAUCAGCGAGAUGUCAGAUCAUGGUCACAGGACCAGUAGUGGCAGCUGGAGCGUCAUGAGUGAAAAUACUUUAUCUAAAAAUUUCCCGCUUCAUCGUGCAUGUCGGGACGGUGAUGUUGAAUCGCUCACGUUGCUUUUACAACAAGAAGCGGCUCGCUCACACAUCACGGUCGAGGACACUUACUAUGGCUGGACUCCAACACACUGGGCUGCAUACUUUGGCAAGCUGGAGUGCUUGCGAGUCCUAGUAAGUGGUGUGGGUAGUGGAGUGGCUGUACACCCUGGAAUGACAACUUCUCGCUUUACGCAGACUCCAGCCCACAUAGCUGCCUUUGCUGGACACCCUCAUUGUCUACAAUGGCUUUUACACACGGGAGUUGAUCCUAAUGCUCAGGAUUACUUAGGAGAGACCUCACUGCAUAAGGCUGCUCGCACUGGUUCUACAGAAUGUGUUGAUCUCCUUGUUGCUAACAGAGCCAAAAUUGGAAACCGCAACAACAAUGGGCAGACAGCUGCUCAACUUGCAAAUGCAUGCAGUUACACAGCCCUUGCCAAUCACUUGCUGCAAUUGGAAGGCAAACAAGGUGUGACAACGGAUGUGAAUAACUCUAUCACACGUAGUGUUCCAGCUCAUGGGCUCAAUGGUGGAGUCUUCCCACAUUGUGCUGAGUCAGCCCUUUUCACCAACAAACUCAUCCCUGUCUCAACCAAUGGCCAAACAACUAAUGCUGCUGUGUCAUCAUCUGUCACAACUACAAAUGGAAAUGCUAAUUCCACUAAUGGUUGCACUAGCAAUGGUACAUGUACUUCAUCCAAUGGCUAUUAUGGAUUCCAGCCAGCAAAUAACCAUAGUAAUGGACACGUGAAUGGCCAAACAAAUGUUUUCAUAAAUGGCUGUAAUGAGCAAUCAGAUGAGUGUGACAUGGAAACUGAUGUGACACCUGUUAAUGAAGGCUGUAAUGGAUCUGCCACCAGUCACAAAAGUGGCCCUGAAUCUGGCUUGCUUAAGACCUCCAUAAAUGGUUUGCAGUCUCAGUCAGUAAAUGGUCAUACAGAUAAGAUUCCAUUUGGAUUUACUAAUGGACAUGUAAUUGGAACAGUUCUUGGAUUUGCAAAUGGACACACUGCUGGCAACAUGCCAAAGUUUACAAAUGGUCAUAGUACUUGUGGAAGUAACCAGAAUGGCACAAAUGGUUUUACUUCAAAAAUUCAAAGUAAUAUGGGAGAAGAUAUCACAAUUAACCCUGGUGUUUCACAAAACCACAUUCCAAUAGCAGGCUGCAAGAGAUCAAGAGAAGAAGGAAUUAUUCCCGAGAUGAAGAGGAUGAGAACUGAGGGCUCUCUGUGUCUUCGUGAUACCUGCAGCCCAACCAGAUUACAAGCUUUAUGCUCCAGCCACCAACUCAGAGUUCCGUUUUGUGAUAUCACAAACAAUUCAUAUACAUGUAGUCCCAUCAGGGCUUUUGAGCAACCUAAAGUUCAGAAUCCUAGUUUUGUAAGCAAUGAAAAAGAGGGAGAGAUUUCUUGUAGACCUGAAGUCGACGAUGAGUCAGUAGCAAUGGAUGAAGUGGAGAGUGUGGGCGAGGGAAUCAUUGGAAACUGUACAGCAGCUGAAGCUGUAGUUGAUACAACCUCAGAGCUUUAUGCAGAAAUGCUCAGAGAGACUCAUGGCUGUGAACCAUACCUGUUUCUCUAUUAAUGAAAUAUCCCUAUAUUAAUUAUAUAGAAGAGGAAGUGGACACAGAAGCAUUGGUAGAUAGUUAAGCUCGCAUGGGGACGUCGUGGGUCGGGCAGGGGGGACUGGGCUCCUCCUCGAUGAACCCUGUGGGUGCGCUGGGGAAGCUGCUCGGCACCAAGCUAAGCCCUCUGCACACAGACAAAGACAGGUGUGAGAGUGUGUCAAGUGCAGUGCAGUACCUCCCAGGUAAAGAAGGAUCUCUCCCACACUACCUCUUCACAAGUCAUACCUGAAUUCUCUUCUAUGCUCGACCACGUUUCCACCAUCAAGGCUGAGAAUGGUUAUGAAUCAGUCAAUUUUGACACAAUGAUGACAGAAAUGCAUGGAUGUUAACUUUUUACAAGUUUAUGUUAUGAAUCAAGAUAUUUAGUAACAAACUAUUUAGUUUAAUAAUUUACAGGUGACCGGUUUUUAAAUAUUUUCACUGAUACAGUAGUGUGUACUUUUGUUACAAGAGUGCUCAUAUAGUAAUGGCUGUUUUUAUCUUAAUGACUGAUGUCCUUUUUUCUCUUUUUGGGGGGCAUUUGUACAUUUAAUAAAUGUUUAUUAGUUGCAGAUCAUUAACAAACAAAUGUUAUUACUGCAGAAUCAUAGGGAGCCUAUGAAAUUAUUUCUUUAAGAUUAAAAACACAGCUUUCAUAAAACAACUUUAGAUCUUAGUAAUAACCAUUUGGAGAAUACAUACAUGACUUAACAGCAAGAUUGAGUGUUGUAAAUGAGGACCUGAGACAGAGAUAAGAAGGGAUGUCAUUGCAUUACUCUUGAUUUGUUGUCUGAUCGUUUUUUAUCUUUCUUGAACUUUUUCCUAGUUUAAACUUCAUUUUCAGAAAUAUUUUCUGUUGUUUUUUUUUUAACCACCGAUAUCUAUAGCUUCAAUGCACUAUUAGAUGUAGGGAAAUAAGAACAGUCAGGGAUUCCUCCUCUUUUUUUUUAUAAGUAAAAAUUAUAUGCAGAUUACUGUCAUUUGUUUUGUAUACAAUUUUUUUUUUAUUUCUUUGAAUCCCAUGUCAUUUCUUAUUUUCCAUUAUUUUACAUAAAGUACCUCAUGAUAACCAAAUGUUGUACUGGUUAGUGAGGAAACAUCCUGGUAAUAGUAAGUGGAUGCUCUUUAGGCUGCUGAGCAAAACAAUAUGUUUUCACACUUAUAACACAAAAACAAUGUUAUUACAGAAUUGUCACACACCAGUAUGACUGUAUGUAUACCAUUUAUACAAAUAUUGCAUCAGGGAUGUAAGAUAUAGUAUUUAUUACCCAUAUUUAAUACCAACUCAAUCAAUUGAAACUAAGUCAUGAUGUAUUUUGAGAUCUUCAUUCUUAUAUA
rnacentral:misc_RNA from 1 species